rnacentral:rRNA from 1 species
GAGUUUGAUCAUGGCUCAGAACGAACGCUGGCGGCAGGCUUAACACAUGCAAGUCGAACGAACCGUGCCCUUCGGGGCACAAUGUUAGUGGCGCACGGGUGAGUAACGCGUGGGAACAUGCCCUGUAGUACGGAAUAACCCAGGGAAACUUGGGCUAAUACCGUAUACGCCCUUCGGGGGAAAGAUUUAUCGCUAUAGGAUUGGCCCGCGUCUGAUUAGGUAGUUGGUGAGGUAACGGCUCACCAAGCCGACGAUCAGUAGCUGGUCUGAGAGGAUGAUCAGCCACACUGGGACUGAGACACGGCCCAGACUCCUACGGGAGGCAGCAGUGGGGAAUAUUGGACAAUGGGGGCAACCCUGAUCCAGCCAUGCCGCGUGAGUGAAGAAGGUUUUUUUGUUGUAAAGCUCUUUCGGCGGGGACGAUGAUGACGGUACCCGCAUAAGAAGCCCCGGCUAACUUCGUGCCAGCAGCCGCGGUAA